GNARUACUUAACACAUGCAAGUCGAACGCUGAAGCCUGGUGCUUGCACCGGGUGGAUGAGUGGCGAACGGGUGAGUAACACGUGAGUAACCUGCCCCCGACUUCGGGAUAAGCCCGGGAAACUGGGUCUAAUACCGGAUAUGACAACCGAAGGCAUCUUUGGUUGUGGAAAGUUUUUUCCGUUGGGGAUGGGCUCCCGGCCUAUCAGUUUGUUGGUGAGGUAAUGGCUCACCAAGACGACCACCGGUAGCCGGGCUGAGAGGGCGACCGGCCACACUGGGACUGAAACACGGCCCAAACUCCUACGGGAGGCAGCAGUGGGGAAUAUUGCACAAUGGGGGAAACCCUGAUGCAGCGACGCAGCGUGCGGGAUGACGGCCUUCGGGUUGUAAACCGCUUUCAGCAGGGAAGAAGCCUCUAUCGGUGACCGUACCUGCAGAAGAAGUACCGGCUAACUACGUGCCAGCAGCCGCGGUAAUACGUAAGGUACCAGCGUUGUCCGGAAUUAUUGGGCGUAAAGAGCUCGUAAGUGGUUGGUCACGUCUGCUGUGGAAACGCAACGCUUAACGUUGCGCGUGCAGUGGGGUACGGGCUGACUAGAGUGCAGUAAGGGAGUCUGGAAUUCCUGGUGUAGCGGUGAAAUGCGCAGAUAUCAGAGGAACACCGGGUGGCGAAGCGGGACUCUGGGCUGUAACUGACCACUGGAGGAGCGAAAGCAUGGGGAAGCGAACAGGAUUAGAUACCCUGGUAGUCCAUGGCCGUAAACGUUGGGCACUAAGGUGUGGGGGGACAAUCCACGGUUCUCGGCGCCGUAGCUAACCGCAAUUAAGGUGCCCCGCCUGGGGGAAGUACGGGUCCGCAAAGGCUUAAACUCUCAAAAGGAAUUGGACCGGGGGGUCCCGCCCAGCCGGGCGGAGCCAUGCCGGAUUUAAUUUCGAUGGCACGCGGAAGAAACCUUUACCCAAGGGCCU
rnacentral:rRNA from 1 species